CAAGUCGACGGAAGGCCCAGCUUGCUGGGUACUCGAGUGGCGAACGGGUGAGUAACACGUGGGUGAUCUGCCCUGAACUUUGGGAUAAGCCUGGGAAACUGGGUCUAAUACCGGAUAUGACCUUGGAGUGCAUGCUCUGGGGUGGAAAGCUUUUGCGGUUCAGGAUGGGCCCGCGGCCUAUCAGCUUGUUGGUGGGGUAAUGGCCUACCAAGGCGACGACGGGUAGCCGACCUGAGAGGGUGAUCGGCCACACUGGGACUGAGACACGGCCCAGACUCCUACGGGAGGCAGCAGUGGGGAAUAUUGCACAAUGGGCGCAAGCCUGAUGCAGCGACGCCGCGUGAGGGAUGACGGCCUUCGGGUUGUAAACCUCUUUCACCAGGGACGAAGCGCAAGUGACGGUACCUGGAGAAGAAGCACCGGCCAACUACGUGCCAGCAGCCGCGGUAAUACGUAGGGUGCGAGCGUUGUCCGGAAUUACUGGGCGUAAAGAGCUCGUAGGCGGUUUGUCGCGUCGUCUGUGAAAUUCUGCAACUCAAUUGUAGGCGUGCAGGCGAUACGGGCAGACUUGAGUACUACAGGGGAGACUGGAAUUCCUGGUGUAGCGGUGAAAUGCGCAGAUAUCAGGAGGAACACCGGUGGCGAAGGCGGGUCUCUGGGUAGUAACUGACGCUGAGGAGCGAAAGCGUGGGUAGCGAACA
rnacentral:rRNA from 1 species